UGGGGAAUAUUGGACAAUGGGCGCAAGCCUGAUCCAGCCAUGCCGCGUGAGUGAUGAAGGCCUUAGGGUUGUAAAGCUCUUUCACCGGAGAAGAUAAUGACGGUAUCCGGAGAAGAAGCCCCGGCUAACUUCGUGCCAGCAGCCGCGGUAAUACGAAGGGGGCUAGCGUUGUUCGGAAUUACUGGGCGUAAAGCGCACGUAGGCGGAUCGAUCAGUCAGGGGUGAAAUCCCAGAGCUCAACUCUGGAACUGCCUUUGAUACUGUCGAUCUAGAGUAUGGAAGAGGUGAGUGGAAUUCCGAGUGUAGAGGUGAAAUUCGUAGAUAUUCGGAGGAACACCAGUGGCGAAGGCGGCUCACUGGUCCAUUACUGACGCUGAGGUGCGAAAGCGUGGGGAGCAAACAGG
rnacentral:rRNA from 2 species